rnacentral:lncRNA from 12 species
CUCACAGCUGCAGCACACACCAAGCCCCUCCCCUGGCCCGAACCCGCCCCAGCCCCGCCCCAGGCCACAGGGUUCCUCUGGUGCCCGCUGGGAAACGGAAAACAGCAGUUGUCCCGCUGAUGUUUUUUUUUUUUUAACCUUUAUUUAUGGUAGUCACACAGAGAGAGAGGCAGGCUCCAUGCACCGGGAGCCCGACGUGGGACUCAAUCCCGGGUCUCCAGGAUCGCGCCCUGGGCCAAAGGCAGGCGCCCAACCCAACCGCUGCGCCACCCAGGGAUCCCCCGCUGACGGGUUUAAAGAAACCAAGUCCAAGAAGGACGACACUGGUUUUUCCUCUAGGAAGGCCCUCUGGGAACCCAAGAAAACCAGACAAGGGACAGUGACAGCAGUGCCACCCAGGCUUUUAGCCAUGGAGGAUCUUCACACGCCACUCCCUCUUCCUGGGGCCGGGGCCCAGUGUCAGCCCCUCUGGAGAAAAGGAUGAGCUUGGAGUUCCCAGCCAAACUCUCUACCAGAAUCAGCUGGGUUGAGCUGGAAGAAGGGGAAAAUCCAGUCUGAGGACAAAAAUACGGUUUGGGGUUCUGCCUCCUGAGUCGUUUAUGACACCCCAGGACUGUGAGGAGGGGCCCCAGCCCAGCCCAGAUGCCACCAUCCCAGUGUUUCCCAGCUAUCUCAGCUCUCAUCUGUGAGGUCUCAGGGCACCAAGCUCUGGUAACAGGGAAAUGGACUCUCUCAAGACUUCCUGGAAUGAUCUAUUUAUUCCACAAAGAACUUACUGAGUAGGUAAGACCUACCUGUGCCAUACCCUGUUGUAGGGGCUGAGGAUACAGCAGUGAGCAAAAUGGGUAAAAUCCCUGCUUUCUUGGAGUUUAUUGGGAGGAGAGUCCCUGAACAAGAUAAUGAGUAAAAUCUAUCUUUCUAGUAAUGAUAAAGGCAGAAGGGAGUUAGGAAGAAUCAAUAGCGAGCAUAUUGAAAGUUUAGAUGGAAUGGCCAACAAGGGCCACAUGGAGAAGAUGACUCAGGUGAAGAAUCUAAGUAAACAAGGGAGUCAUGAGGAUUUCUGUGGGAUAAAAUUCCAGGCUGAGGAAAUGGCAGGUGCAAAGGCACUGGAACAAGGCUGGUGGAUCAUGACUGAGUUAGAGCAUGUCUGCCAGUGUGGCUGGAGGAAGGAGAGAAACAGGGAAAACAAGGAGACAGUAUGAGAGAUAGCAUUGACCAAUCAUAAAGGGCCCUAGAGGCCCUCCUAAGGACUUGGGCUUUUACUCUCAGUGACAUAGGAAAGCCAAAGGAGAAUUUUGGCAGAGGACUGACAUAUUUAAAAAAAAAAUUUUUUUUAAUUUAAAGAUUUGUUUAGGGCAGCCCAGGUGGCUCAGCGGUUUAGCACCGCCUUCAGCCCAGGGCCUGAUCCUGGAGACCCGGGAUCGAGUCCCACAUGGGGCUCUCUGCAGGGAGCCUGCUUCUCCCUCUGCCUGUGUCUCUGCCUCUCUUUCUGUCUGUGUGUCUCUUGAAUAAAUAAGUAAAAUCUUAAAAAAUAAAUAAAUAA